rnacentral:rRNA from 1 species
UGCGUAGGCGGUCCUAUAAGUCAGUGCUGAAAUAUCCCGGCUUAACCGGGAGGGUGGCAUUGAUACUGUAGGACUUGAGUAAAGUUGAGGUUGGCGGAAUUGACGGUGUAGCGGUGAAAUGCUUAGAUAUCGUCAAGAACACCUAUUGCGAAGGCAGCUAACUAAGCUUUAACUGACGCUGAGGCACGAAAGUGUGGGGAUCAAACAGGAUUAGAUACCCUGGUAGUCCACACUGUAAACGUUGAUUACUCGCUGUUGGCGAUACACAGCCAGCGGCUUAGCGCAAGCGAUAAGUAAUCCACCUGGGGAGUACGCCGGCAACGGUGAA